rnacentral:rRNA from 1 species
GAGCGGCCGAUGUCGGAUUAGCUAGUAGGUGAGGUAAAGGCUCACCUAGGCGACGAUCCGUAGCGGGUCUGAGAGGAUGAUCCGCCACACUGGGACUGAGACACGGCCCAUACUCCUACGGGAGGCAGCAGUGGGGAAUUUUGGACAAUGGGCGCAAGCCUGAUCCAGCCAUGCCGCGUGAGUGAAGAAGGCCUUCGGGUUGUAAAGCUCUUUCGGCCGGGAAGAAAUCGGCGACUCUAACAUAGGCCAUGGAUGACGGUACCGGACUAAGAAGCACCGGCUAACUACGUGCCAGCAGCCGCGGUAAUACGUAGGGUGCGAGCGUUAAUCGGAAUUACUGGGCGUAAAGCGUGCGCAGGCGGUUUUGUAAGACAGAUGUGAAAUCCCCGGGCUUAACCUGGGAACUGCGUUUGUGACUGCAAGGCUAGAGUACGGCAGAGGGGGGUGGAAUUCCUGGUGUAGCAGUGAAAUGCGUAGAGAUCAGGAGGAACACCGAUGGCGAAGGCAGCCCCCUGGGCCUGUACUGACGCUCAUGCACGAAAGCGUGGGGAGCAAACAGGAUUAGAUACCCUGGUAGUCCACGCCCUAAACGAUGUCGACUAGUCGUUCGGAGCAGCAAUGCACUGAGUGACGCAGCUAACGCGUGAAGUCGACCGCCUGGGGAGUACGGCCGCAAGGUUAAAACUCAAAGGAAUUGACGGGGACCCGCACAAGCGGUGGAUGAUGUGGAUUAAUUCGAUGCAACGCGAAAAACCUUACCUACCCUUGACAUGUCUG